rnacentral:rRNA from 1 species
GACGAACGCUGGCGGCGUGCUUAACACAUGCAAGUCGAACGGAAAGGCCCUGCUUUUGUGGGGUGCUCGAGUGGCGAACGGGUGAGUAACACGUGAGUAACCUGCCCUUGACUUUGGGAUAACUUCAGGAAACUGGGGCUAAUACCGGAUAGGAGCUCCUGCUGCAUGGUGGGGGUUGGAAAGUUUCGGCGGUUGGGGAUGGACUCGCGGCUUAUCAGCUUGUUGGUGGGGUAGUGGCUUACCAAGGCUUUGACGGGUAGCCGGCCUGAGAGGGUGACCGGCCACAUUGGGACUGAGAUACGACCCAGACUCCUACAGGAGGCAGCAGUGUAGAAUAUUUCACAAUGGGCGGAAGCCUGAUGCAGCAACGCCGCGUGCGGGAUGACGGCCUUCGGGUUGUAAACCGCUUUCGCCUGUGACGAAGCGUGAGUGACGGUAAUGGGUAAAGAAGCACCGGCUAACUACGUG